rnacentral:rRNA from 1 species
CCUACGGGGGGCAGAAGUGGGGAAUAUUGGACAAUGGGGGGAACCCUGAUCCAGCCAUGCCGCGUGUGUGAAGAAGGCCCUCGGGUUGUAAAGCACUUUCAGUGAGGAAGAACGCCUGGUGGUUAAUACCCAUCAGGAAAGACAUCACUCACAGAAGAAGCACCGGCUAACUCCGUGCCAGCAGCCGCGGUAAUACGGAGGGUGCGAGCGUUAAUCGGAAUUACUGGGCGUAAAGCGCGCGUAGGUGGCUUGAUAAGCCGGUUGUGAAAGCCCCGGGCUCAACCUGGGAACGGCAUCCGGAACUGUCAAGCUAGAGUGCAGGAGAGGAAGGUAGAAUUCCCGGUGUAGCGGUGAAAUGCGUAGAGAUCGGGAGGAAUACCAGUGGCGAAGGCGGCCUUCUGGACUGAGACUGACACUGAGGUGCGAAAGCGUGGGUAGCAAACAGGAUUAGAUACCCCGGUAGUC